rnacentral:lncRNA from 1 species
UGGGGCUAUAUAUAAGCCCAAAAAGAUAACAGAGAGAUUACAUAAUCUAGCUAAUAAAAAAAGGCAACCGCCCAGGCGCCUAAGUUCACCGCUCAGCGGUUUCCCUCUUGCCGUUUUGACUGCUCAACGGUUAGUUUUGCCGUUGAGCGGUUUCCCUCUAAUCGCUCUGAGCGCUCAGCGGUCCAUUCUGGCGCUCAAUGACUCACUUGACCCUUCUGUUCAUCAUUUUUCUU